GGGAGGCCUCAGUGUCUCCUCUCCUUCGGGAGAACGGAAGGACGCCUGCGGCCUACGUAUGAAAGGAAGAAAUGCCAUGAACUGUGCAGACAUUGCAAGACCUGGAACUCUAAAGUCUGAGGACCAAUAUCCUGAGGGUGGUAAUACUGAAAUAUGUCAUCAUUUGUAAUACCACGUCUGCUGCUGCUACUGCUAAGUCGCUUCAGUCGUGUCUGACUCUGUGUGACCCCAUAGACGGCAGCCCAACAGGCUCCCCCGUCCCUGGGAUUCUCCAGAAAAAAAGAGGAUUUGGGCUAGAUCAAGACCUUUUCACAGUUCUACUCUUAAGGGCGGAGUCAAAAAGGAGACUACACCUUUGAAAGGAGUAACGCAGGUCUGCAUGUGUCUAUGCCAGAUGCUGGUGAGGAGCCAGGGGACCAAGAUUCAUAAAGAAGAGCCUUUCUCUGAAGAGUUCAUGAACUGUUGAGGAAUACCACCCCCAACCAGCACACAAUCGGGAGACUAUAGCCCGCCAGGCUUCUCUGUCCUUGGGAUUUCCCAGGCGAGAAUGCUGGAGUGGGCUGCCACGCCCUCCUCUGGGGGUCUGGAGUCCCGUGAGCUGCAGAUGGAUUCUUUACCACUGAACCGUCAGGGAAGCUCAGCGACCACAGUUUUGCUCAGUAAUGUAUCGUGCGCAGCGUCGUGAAGAUCUGACUUGAGAACCAACGUUCAGAAACAUCCAAGUGGCUGUUAUGCUUUCCAUGUAACUCCCGGGGCUAAUAUUUCCACUCCUGUAAUGAUUACUGCUUAUGAAGGUUGCAUGUUAAUUAUCUGACAUGAUUCACUCCUUUAAUUAAGGGCCUCAAAAAACCGCCAGAUUCCCAAUUCACUUCAGGCCAAAUUCAUCUACUUGGGUAAAACCAGGUGAUGUGUUUCUGGGGGCUGAGGGUUUGGGAUUCUGCUGUUUCGGUUCAUUUGAGGAAAAGCUCAUUGAGAGGCUUUAUCUCUCCCUGAGACUUGUAACAAAAGCAACAACAGCAAUAAUCAUAAAAACUGUGGCCACUGAGACAACACUCACAGUACGGCCGCGAUUAUGUAUGUCAUCUCUCUUAAACUUUGCCCCAGCCUGAGGAAGUUACUAUGCUGAUACUUCAUUUUUAGGAGUGAGACAAUUUGUGCUCAGACGAGGUGUAAAAUUUUCCAUAGUUUCUAUAGUUCAUAAAUGGUGUUGCCAGCAUCUAAACACAGGUUUUAACCUCAGAGCUUGGUACACACUACACUAUACCGCCUGUGACCUUAUAUUGUACAACCAGUUAGGGAUUUCACUAUAACCCAGGAGAUUUUGGUUGGGUGAUUUUGAGCAAUUUUCAAACAAUUUGCACCAUAUGUCUCCAACUUUUAUAAAGUUCAGGAACCAUUUGAAGGAAAAACAUUCUUGCAGAACCCCUGUGUUGGCUUAAAUUGCUUCUAUUAUAAUGUUAUUUAAUAAACAAGCCAAACUAU